CCCACUGCCGCGCGCGGGGGCGGGGCCGCGCCCACGGGGAGCGGCGCGAGAGGGGGCGGGGCCACGGUCCUGUACCUGCGCCGCAAGGCGCGCGGCCGGUGGGGGAGAGUCUGCGUUCUCAUAAGGACUGCAGCAUCUACUCUUCAAAGAGCUUGGGAGCAAAGUUUGUUCUCCUCUGCUGGUGUUGGGUGAUGGAAUAAAAUUCAGCUUGUUGGAAGUUGACAGAUCACUGUGAAACAUGCAGAGAAGAGGUUGUUCUUUUUCAGAAGUGACCUUCUGGGCAGAGUUGUGCUCUGAGUCCUAAUUUGACAUGGCAAAGCUUCUGAUCAUUUGUUCAAAUAGCAGCAGUGGUAUGAAACAGCUUUGUCUUGGAGAAACAUGUGGUGCAUUGAUAUGCAAAUAAGUACACCCUGUGCUUCAGCAAGUGCCAAGAAGAGGCCAGAAGUGUGCCAAACAUUUUCAGAAAUGUGGAAAAACAUCAUUCUCUGGACAGAAUACUGAACAGGAUGAAACAGAGAGAUUCCUGGGACUGAUACCAUCCAAUUGAUACAAGAAACGAAGCAAUGGUUGGGGAUUCAUCACAGAGAUAAAUUUACAAUAUCAACGUGAUAGAAGAUCCUUUUGGAAAAAAUCAAAGCAAGUGAAUUGCAGAGCUCCUCAAUACAUCCUUUAACCUGAAGUAUUGCCUGGACUGAUCUUCAGCCAACUCUCUCUGAAACCUGUCUUCAGAUCAACCAAAUUUUGUGAUAGGCAUCUGAAAACUCUUGGAAGAUGAAAUAGAGAUUUUAAAAAGUGAAAGCUUCAAUGUGAAUGUCUACAUAAAUACUGUGACUUGAUAAUAUGGUCCUGAUUGCAUUUUGGAAUGCAAGAUGCCUAUGCCUUCACCUGCCUUCAAACUAAUUGAGCUGCAGCUUAGACAACGGGGCUGUCAUUUAGCUGGAGCUGCGGGUGCAGAGUAGGACCCAGUGUUCUAACAUGUGCAACUUCCCUCAGCUGGGAAAAAUAAAUCAGGUUUCUUCAUGGAUUCACAAUCAGCUCUCCAGUGAUUGAUGCCAGAACUGACAAAGACCAUUUAAAAUAUGAAGAGAAAUUUAUCUUUCUGGGAUCUCUGGAUGGAGAGAGGACAGGCUGGGGCUGAUUUCCAUUCUACAAAUCUUGGAGACAACACUAGCACAUCUAUAGUGCCUUUGCCUUGAUCCACUUCUGCCCUCUUUCAAAAGGCAACUGUUUGGUUGUUCUGUCUUUUGAUUACAGUCUGAAUAGAGUGCAGUUUCAGAGCACAUAGUAUGUAAAAAACUGCACUUACUGUUGAAGGUUAUGCAAUUCUGUUUCCAUUAACGAAGCUGUGACAUUAAAAGAAGCAUGUGAAGAUGUGAAGACAUGGCAGCAUCCAGCUGAAUCUGUAAGAGAAGAGCCUGAAACAGGUUACAAAAAAUAGGUCAGAAGAGGCUCUGAGAGGUCAUCGAUGUUGUGUGCAUGCUGAGGCUCAAUUAAUGCUAUCUGAAUCGUUUUGAGAAAUGUUUAUCUAACCUACUCUCCUGCAGCAGUGAGGAAGAACAUGAAUUAACUCCAUUCAGCUACCACUGAAGGCCAGAAAGCGUGAAGGCCAGAAAUUUUGGCUGUGUCAGUAGCAGAUGCUUUUAGCUUUGAUCUACUAUUGGGUGGACUUUAGCUUUGUAUACAAGGGAAACACAUUUGGGGUGCAUAAGAAAUCCUACCUUCCGUGUACUGAAAUUUCUGCAUUGCAAUAGCAGAGCAGUUGUGCUUCGUUAGCACAAAGAUCUGGGGAUACUCUGAAAAUCUUAUGUGACAACAUAAAGUAAAUGAGAUUAACAUUGCAGUAAGGAGCAAGAAAUGUUUUGAUGGUAGCUAAUGUAAUAGUUAAGGUAGUGGGAACGCAUGGGUAGUUCUCCUGACUCUUCAUGGCUCAGGGUCUAUGCUGAUUCUGCUGGUCUUCAGUCUCUUCAGAUGGCUCUGGUUCCUCUGCCCUUCCCUUGUUUAUGGGGGUACUAAGAGUAUAUUCUGUUUAGGAUGUUAGGACAGAAGGGGAAAGUGAUGCAGAGGGUCCUGAGUUUCAGGUGACCCAUCCGACUUAAAGACUGGAAGCAGCGCAGUCCGGUAGACCAGUCACAUAAGCACAAGCAAUCCACCCCAGAGCCAGGGGCAAUAAGUAUUUCCUUUCAGUAGGACUAACGUAAUCUGAGCAAGCUCCAGCAAGGCAUUUUUGCGGCUAUGAUGUGUCUGGAUCCUAGUACGUCCUGCAACACUGCUGUGUGGAUGCUGCAGUUUAGGAUGGCACCUACUCAGGAGUCUGAAAGACCUUUCAGUUCAGCAAAUGAACCUGCAGUGCUCUGAGCAGCUGUAGCUGGGGACUGAAAAUCCUCCUUGCUCCUGCUGGAAUACAGGGUAUAUGAAAGUGCCUGUGAUACUUGACCUUCAUAUCAGCAGUUUGCUAUCAGCUUUUGCAAGGAUUUGACAAAGAUUUUCUUUCACCUUGAAAAAAUGGAUAUUCUGAAGGAUUUCUUUGCAAUACUCCCAUACACAUAACACACCUUGCUGAGUGGAAGCAGCUUGUUUUCUAUACUGCACUUCUUUCUGAAAGAUGGUUUCAAAAACACGUUUGAUCUCUCUCUUGAUAGUGAAAGAACAUAAACAAAUGUCUUUCAAAUUAUUUUCCUGCUGAAAGCCUUUAUGAUUCCAUAGAAGAGGAAACUGGACUAACUCAAUAAGCAAUGGACCAUACCGCAAUAAACUGAUACAUUGUUAAUUUUUAUUGCUAAAGUGUCUUUCUGCUGCUCUGGUUCAAAAUGCUCUUCAUUUUUUUUAUUAUUGCUGAUUUUUAUGAUUGCACUGGUAAAUCCUUCUAAUAUUCUACUCAAUAUUUCUGUUGAAACAUAUUGGCUGAAGCAAGCAGCGAGGCAGGAAGCAUAGCAGUAUCUCCAUCCAGAAGAACAAAGAAAGAGAUCAAAGAAUUACAAAGGGACCUCCAAGCUGUUGGCCAGAGCUAGCAGAGGAUCUGGCUAAUUGUUCAAGGAGCUGGCUCUUGAAAAGCCUUGGGAGAAGAACAUUAAAUGCCUGACGAAGAAGGGAGUAAAAGAUAUGAAGCAUUUUUAGGUAUUGUCAUAGUGGACUGAGAGAAGCAGGAAGACUGGGGCCGUUAGAGCUUACAACGGUGUGAGCCCCCCUGAAAGCACCAAGUUCUCCUUAGGCGGCGGAGGUGGAUACUCUCUUCAAGGUGUGCUGCUAAUUUGCUUUCUGUUAGUUCAGGCACUUCUACACUGUGUUUAAUAGCACACUAUAAGUGUCAUGUUUGUUUUCUUUCCCAGUCUUAGUUUCUCAAGUUUAUUGAUUACCUAGCAGAAUGAGACUCCAGUCUUGACUAAGCUUUACCAUGAUCCAUCCGGCUAAUAUAAAAGCCUGUUUGAAGGUUAUCUGUAGGAGAUUAAUGGACAGCACGCCAAUCAAUAUGAUUAAAUGCUGACACUUUA